GGAUAGCCUUUAGAAAUGAAGAUUAAUACCCCAUGGUCUAUAGAAGUGGCAUCACUUUUAUAGUAAAGGUUACGGUGUAAGAUGAGUAUGCGUCCUAUUAGUUAGUUGGUGUGGUAACGGCACACCAAGACUACGAUAGGUAGGGGCCCUGAGAGGGGGAUCCCCCACACUGGUACUGAGACACGGACCAGACUCCUACGGGAGGCAGCAGUGAGGAAUAUUGGACAAUGGGCGAGAGCCUGAUCCAGCCAUGCCGCGUGCAGGAAGACUGCCCUAUGGGUUGUAAACUGCUUUUAUACGGGAAGAAACACUCCUACGUGUAGGAAUUUGACGGUACCGUAAGAAUAAGCAUCGGCUAACUCCGUGCCAGCAGCCGCGGUAAUACGGAGGAUGCAAGCGUUAUCCGGAAUCAUUGGGUUUAAAGGGUCCGUAGGCGGGCAGUUAAGUCAGGGGUGAAAGUUUGCGGCUCAACCGUAAAAUUGCCUCUGAUACUGAUUGUCUUGAAUUAGUGUGAAGUGGUUAGAAUGAGUAGUGUAGCGGUGAAAUGCAUAGAUAUUACUCAGAAUACCGAUUGCGAAGGCAGAUCACUAACACUAUAUUGACGCUGAUGGACGAAAGCGUGGGGAGCGAACAGGAUUAGAUACCCUGGUAGUCCACGCCGUAAACGAUGGAUACUAGCUGUUCGGACUUCGGUCUGAGUGGCCAAGCGAAAGU
rnacentral:rRNA from 1 species